CAAAUAUUUUGUCCCACUCCCUUCAAAACCCACAAAUCAAACAGUACAGUUCUUCAGCUUCCACGGACACUCAGUGCUCACUCGCACAAUUAGAAUACUCAAUUACAAAAACUGGUCCUGUAACUUCAUUUACGUUCACUUAUGUUCCCGGUUUCUUAUCCACUGUUCCCCCUGGCUCAUCGGUGACGUUUCUUCAGUGAGCCAAAACACAACCCAGAGUGGUCCUUUUUGGAAGUUCUUUAGGCACUCCUCAUCCAUGACAACUGGUUACCCUGGCCAGUCUUAAGUGUUGGGUGAAAAUCCUUUGCGUUUUGCUGGGUAGUCGAGUCCACCUCCUUCCCCGGGGCACGGGAACACCAAAUUCCCUGGGCAAGAGUCUUAACCAACGUCCCCCAGCCAGACAAGAAUAUUUUAAACAGGGAAUGGAAUUCCACAAGUAACAGUUUUACAACACGAACCUUUAACAAUUACAAAGACAGACGGUGACAACCACUAAUACAGUUCCUAUAAGCAAGAAAAAGAAACACGGCCCAGACAUUUACUGCCCCGCCUGGCAGUACAGUGUUACAAGUGACUUGCUUUAUCCCUCCUGUAAAUGUCUUCCCCAGCACCACCACUAUGCCAGGGCCUUACCCCCGUCAACUUUCCGGCAGACUCACGGUUUCUCUCCCAUGCUGAAAUCAAUUACCCAUCCGAUGCCUCCCGGGCCGAUACAAAGUUUCACUGCCGCACACUCUGUGUUGCCCCAGCCGACGCACCAGUGCUUUCCCCAGAGGCCUUCACCACUUCACCAAAGAGCAGAACGGAAUAGAAGCAGAGAAAGGGCGGGGAAUACCUGUACCCAGAGGCUCUUGUGUGCUCCCAUGGUGAUCCACCUGAGAGUUGGAGUCCCUCCCGGACAAGCUGCCGGUGGGCCCAGGGACUCCUCCUCUCAGAGGCUCCCACAGUUGAGCCGAGAGUCUCCUGCCUGGCUCGCCAACUGAAGCUGAGAAAACCAACAAAGGAACUCGACUCGUCAGUGAGGUAUGACAAGCAGGUAUUCCCUUUAUUACAGCGCUGGGUGCAUGGCAGAAGGUUCCCACCAAACAUGCACACCGAGAGAAGCAGCGACAACGUAUUUAAAGGCAUAGCGUAUAAAUAUUAAUUGCAGUCCAAGGACGUGGGCAGAAAUAACACCUCUGGUGGUCAUCAGAUGAAGGACGAAGUCAUUCUCGCUGUAAUUUCCAAUCUUUUCAGGAGGGGGUAGCCCAAACCAGUUCCCGCUGAUGUUAUGUUGAGCUGAGGCAUCUGAUUUGCCGUAGAAUCAGUAAAAUCAUAUAAAUGCUCAGGUUGGAAAAGACCUUCAGGAUCAUCAAGUCCAGCCACGACCUAUAACCAUACUACCCUAACUCUAACAACCCUCCACUAAAUCACGUCCCUGAGCACCGCAUCCUAAUGGAUUUGAAACACAUUCAGGCAUGGUGACUCAACCACUUCCCUGGGGAGCCUCUUCAGGGGUUAACAACCCAUUCUGCAAACAGUAUUUCCAGAUAUCCAACCUAAACCCCCGCCGGGGAACCUGCCCGCACUGCCAGCACUGCCAGCACCAACUGCCAGCACUAACGGCUGUGUGUCCUGUUGGCUGCGCCCCCUGCGGCCCGCCUUUGUAUGCAUGGAGGGGUGCCCGCACUCCUCACUCUGCCCACCCACAUCAGAGCUGCCGCGCUGCUGGGGGGUGGGGGAGAGCGGGGCUGGGAGGGCUGCUUCGCUCUCCUUCACAUUCCUACUUUCCUUUGGUUUUUUUACUGUGAUUUGGACCCUCUAAAAACGCUCCCUAGGCAUGAGCCUCCACUGUAAAGCUGAUCCACUUGAGGCUUGUAAACAUUUGAUUCUCUUUGUGGAUUGUUAGCAGAUCAGAAUCUCAGUAGCACGAGGUCUGCUACGAAAGGAAAGCCUCCAUUUCUGUUCUGUUGUCCCGCAUCAGGGGCAGAUGCUGGUGAUAUGGACGUAGAGGUUGAACCUUCCCACCACUAUUCUGUGGCAGGCCCUGCAGUUACUGCAGCUCCUGAGGCAGGUCCUGCAGCUACUUCAGGCCCUGCGACGGGGCUCAGCUGUGUCCCGCACUCCGCUCCUGAGGCGGCUCUCCACAGACUGCAGCCUCAGUCCUUCAGGCCACGCCCGCCUGCUCCGGCGCGGGCUCCUCCACAGAGCGCGGCACAUCCGAGCUCUACACGGGUCCUGGAGAGCUGCAACACCAAGACAGGACUGAGGUGCGGACCGGCGCUUGGGCCGGGUGUACUUGGCCAGGCCGGGCACUGAGACGAGGGCGGGGGCCGCUCCGUGCCGGACGCGGCCGUUUCCAGCCGGUUCAACGGCCGCAGCGCAGCCGGGGGCGAGCCCGUCAGCGACAGCGAUGGCGUCGCUGGGAAAGGUCCGGUGGCGGCCAUGGAGAUGCCCGGGGGAAGCGGGAAGAGGGGACCCAGCGGUGCCCUGCGAGCCACGCCUUGCCGCGAGCAAGAAUGUUAGAAUUAAAUAUGCACAGGGAGAGACCACCGACAACGCUGCCAGUGAUGCCAGCACUGAUCACAGCAUGCUGGAUGCCAGGGACACUGCAGUGAUGGCUGAGAGAUGCCCACGCCUUCCUGGUUUUGCCCUGAUACAGUGGAGGGUGUGGAUGAAGAAUGGGAAGACAACUGUGAGGAAGAAGCUGCUGAGGCAGCCAGUGUGCCACCAAGCAUUUCUGGUUCCUCAUCUGGCGAGGUGAAGACCGCGCCUUCAGCUUCCCCUGUGGCUGCAGAACCCGGACCCAAGGGACAUUCACCUGCAUGCAAAGGAGCAGAAACUGCAGGCAAUCACAAGCACAAGGUGAGGAAAGUCCAUGUGGAUUGCCCCAAGACCUCAGGGAACCUUGCAUGUCCAGGACAGGACAGUCCAUUUCACCAGGUGUGAAAUGAAGGCCCGGGCAGGAGCUGUGCUGGAGCUUGCACUGUGGGGAGAUGUGGGGGUGCUGUCUCCUUCCCAGCCAGCUCCAUGCACAAGGGUGGGCAUCCCCUCCAUAACACCUGGCUUGCCUUCGUGUGAGGGGCACGUUUGACGUGCCAGGAGGGAGGUAUCCCUCUUCCCUGGGACCCUGGCACCUGGAGUGCUGCUGGCCAGGAGCCUACAGGGCUGUGGUUUUGCUGUCCCCACACAGGUUUCUGCAGAGACUGGAGAACGUGCACAGAGCUCCGUGGGCCUCAGAGACACACCGGAAGAUGGCCCAGGUGCGUCCUCGGGCAGAAAGCCAUCCCAGGGAGGGGCCUGCCGAGCUCAGAUGGCCCACCAAGUGGCACGGAGGCAGGCAGC
ensembl:lncRNA